CCCCAAGAAGCACCUAAAGAAGAACAUCAAACAUCACUGUGGUGAUCAUGACAUGCAAUACCCAAAGAAAAAUAAUUUAAGAAAAAAUAAACCUAUUCAUCACACAAUGCUAAAAUACAUAUGCCUACAUAUCCAUAAUUUCUAUGUUUACGGAACACCUUUCGAUAAGUCACAACCUUCAUUUUAAAAUGGACUUUUGUAUUUGUAUUUUGCUUGUGAGUAUGGUCUUGGUUAAAACUUCGCAUUCUAGCAUUUACUUAUAUGAUAUCAUAUAGCAAGAAAGCUAUGAGACCCAAGUCACAAUUUAUUGUAUUCUCAUAGACCCUCAAAAUACUAGAGCUAGACAAAGAUAAACAACACGAUAGAGAAACUUCUGCUUUACAUGUACAUUGACAUUUGCAUGUGCAAAGCUCUCUUUCCUCCUUUCCUUUCUUUUCUUCCUCACCUUUCGAAUCUUUCUCCUAGAUUAAGGAGAUUGUUGUUUUGUUGUUAGUGGUUGCCAUCAUCAUCACAUUGAAAUCAACUUUAGUUAAUACUAGCCUCCUGCACGCGCUCACGGGCGUGCGGAAGGCCCUUUUGUAAUUAAGGCAUUCUACGUGCGACUUAAAUAAUUUAAAUGAUAACAAAAGAGCGGUUGCUCUCUGAUCUAAUUGCAGACACAAUCUGCAGAACCGUCUUCUAUGGGAUUUGAACUUGUGAAGUGUGAGGUGGAGACCUGAAUGUAACAAAUUGGUGUUAAGUGAAUAAUUCCAAACAUAUAAAAUUUAGAUCAUCACACCGAACGCAAACAGAACAAUUAAAUAAACAACUGAAGGCAUACGCAAUCUAAUUAGACAAAUAAGUGAACUUUCCCAUGCCGAAAUCUGAAAGGCCAACAGAAAUAUCUCAUUACAGCACAGAAGACAAAACUUAGGACAAAACUUAAAACUAAUCAAACUUAGGUGAACCAAUUAUAGAGAACAUAACCCUUGUAACCAAUCGGGAAAAGAUGCUUUUAAAUCCCAGAAAAAAAAAUUAAGAGGAGUUUUUUAAAAAACCAUCAUUUCAAUUAUUUUCCAGUCUUACAUUUGGAUUAAACAGAAAAUAUAAGUAAAAAUGCCAACUUUCUAAAAAAACUACAACUAUUUUUACAAAUUUCCAUUACCCAAUGCUGAAAAAUGAGAAUCACGAAGCAAUGAAGAACGGAACACGCGAGAACCAAAAAGUUAAAAACAACACGUAACCAUUUCAAAGACCCAAAAUCCUGCAAGGACAAAAAAAUCCCAUAAAAUCAGUACAUCAGCACUCCCUGCAAAACCCCAAAAUCAGAAAAUUAUAAAAAGAACCCAAAAUCAGUGGCAUGGUCCUCGUUUCUCCAUCAUUCAGUAGCUAAUGACCUAAUGGAAAAGAACCCAAAACAUACAGCUUAAAAUAUGGAAAGUGCUUAUAAAAGCUCAUGAAUAACGUUCAAAGCCUGCAUAGAAAUGGUAUAGCGCAGAUAACAACAAACAAUAAAACUAUGCACAGUAUAACCUAAAUCCGAUAUGUUGCAUUCCCCACACACAGAUUGUUCAAAAUUAAUUUCGUCUCCGUCUUUUUUCAAAUCUGAUAAAAUCCCCAAAACACAAAAAAUAGCAGCUAACUAUUUUUUGAACUCUGUAAACAACGAUAUGCAUCUUAACCCAUUUAACAUAUUCAUAAAAUAACAUCAAACACAUUUAUGCAUGAGAUAAUAUAGAAGUGAAGUCUCACAACUUUCAUAAAAAAUUAUUACUUUGUUAGAGAAAGGCUUGAAAAAAUAUGUAAAUUACUCACCUCUAUUACAAAAAUGUUACAACAGUAGACAAAAAAGGCCAAAAAUACCAAAAGCCGCACCUCCUGAAAUAAAAAACAUAACCAAACGACACAUUCUCAGUAUCUAAACGAUAUCCAGAAAAAAAGAAAUGAACAGACGAAACCCAUGUAAAUAUACAGAACAAACCAAAAAAAAAAAAAAGAACUGAAGCCAGUAAGAAGAUCACAAAUCUGAUAAAGCAAAAGGUAACAUAAUCUAUAUCGAUUUAAUUAUCCAUCCAAAAAGACAUUUGAAUGAAGAACAUUUUUAAGGAUCCAAACAACCAUUAAACUAAACAAUUAAAAGUAAAAACAGCAAAGCAUUCAUUGAAGAAAUAUAUAUAUAUAUAUAUAUUAUAACGUAUUUUGUUCUUUAUACCUAAAAGAAAAACAUUGGCUUUCUUGUAUGCACUGAAGUAUGCAUGUGUCGGAAAUUUACAAUCUAUAGAGACUCAAUCUCAGACUCAAAAAGACAUCUAAAGGAAAAGUAAUAAGAAAAAUAAGUAGUGGUUUUACCUAUACUCCAUGUGUGGACUCCAAUUUUCAAUCACAAUUCAAAAUUCAAGAGGCCUAUAAAUCAACCACAUAGGAAAUGAUCAGUGGAAGAAAAAGAAAAACAACUGAAGCCAAAAUAGCAUCUAACAAAUCAUUUAGAACCAUCACAGAAAACAAUUUUUGCAUAUAAGUAAUUUAAAGGAAUACCAUCAGGUCAUGCAUAUAUACAACGUACCCAAUUAGAUAAGUAGCACAUCAACAAUUGAUGAUCAAAAAGUUAGUCAGCCUCAAUUGCUUGAAUCUAAUUAACUCAAAGAUAAUAAACAGUCCAUUUAAUGCACGGGCUGACUAUCAAUUUUAUAAAGCUAUAAUUCUGUGCAGUUCAAAAACCAAGUGGAAGAAUAGGCAAAAACUAUCUCAUCGCCUGUAAAUGUAAUUAACUAAAUAUUAAACUUCACAGCCACAAAUAAACCUAAAUUCCUCCUAAAACUAUCUCAUUUAAGCUUGAUUUUACUAUAAUCUAUAAGUGUGGUAAAAAAUGGGAGGCCAAACGAUUUGUUAACAAAAAAGGUAGACAUAAAAGUAAAAGGAACAGGGCAGACAUUAGUUGAGGAGAAGCUAAUGUCACCUUGAAUUGACGACAAACAGUUCUUAUCUUCUCGAAUUAACGAAGAUAAGUACCAUUUUUCUUUAAUUCAAGGUAAUAUAAAAAGAAAUUAUACCUGUACAGUGUUCAGAUGUAGCAAUCCUAUGCAAUCGGCCAAAUGAUGUGUGUCCUCUCAAAGAUCUGUAUAUCCAUUACAGACUAAUCUUCAGUCUUGCAGAAAAUGAUAUGUUGACUACAAUUUCCCAUACUACUAAAAAACACAAAUAAUUCUAUCUACAAACCAAAUAAUAUGUGCAACUUUAUGCUACAAUGGUAGAAUAAGAUGGUUGUACAGGACGACACAAAGAUUGAGACUUUUUUUUACUUCUAAAAUUCUACACACUUUCGAGCCCUAAAUUUUCCCGGAAACAAAAAAAAGUGAAAGAAGUCGUACCUGGUUUGAGAGAGUGGGACACCAUCGGCGAGUUUGGUGUAGCAGUGAUGGCGGAGAUCUCUGGUGAGAAAGCUAAUAAGAUGGACAAAAUCAUUGAACAAAAAAAACCUCGCUUUUUAAAAUUAAAGUCAACAAAAAUUUGAACAAAGAAAAGAGAACUCAAACCCGAAACAAAUAAGUCGGAGAACUCGCCAGGAAACCCAAAGUUUCUGCAGGAUUGGCGAUUUCCUGAAAACCAAGCUUUUGUAGGUUUAAAAUUUCUUCCCUAAGGCAACAGAUCCAACAUUCCCAACUUUAGCUAUUUCAGCUACAUAAUAGAAAGAAAAAAAAAUUUAUAUAAUUAACUAAUCUGAUUUAAGAUUAAUCGAAAAGCUUGGAAAUUUCAGCUUUAAAAUUACAUGUCAGGCUGCAAAUCUAAUAAAAAGCGUAGAAUUUUAAAAAUGCUGACCUUAAAUACAGAGGCCUUCGCAGGCUGCAAAGAAGCGUUAGAAACCCGAAAAACCGGAUCUCCUGAAACCAAAAACAAAACCAAAUUAACCAUCAUCACCCAUAAUUCGAAGCCACAAACAUAAUCCCCAAAAUUACAACCCAAAAAUUUAAACAAAAAAACCCAUUUAUAAAUCCAAAUUUACACUCCCAAGUGCAAGACUCUAAGCUCCAACUGUUCUUUCUCAACUUUAGCUAUUUCAGCAACAUAACAUAAAUAAAAAGGUCGUACCCAGUGCACAAGGCUCCCGCUUUACGCAGGGUCUGGGAGAGGUGAAUGUCGGCUAGCCUUACCCCCAUUUUAUGGAGAGGCUGCUCCCAAGUCUCGAACCCGAGACCUACCGCUCAUGGGCGAAGACACUUGCCAUCGCACCAAGUGCGACCUCUAGCAACAUAACAUAAAUAAAAAGAUCGUACCCAGUGCACAAGGCUCCCGCUUUACGCAGGGUCUGGGAGAGGUGAACGUCGGCUAGCCUUACCCCCAUUUUAUGAAGAGGCUGGAACAUAACAUAAAUAAAUAAACAAAAUUAAUUUAACUAUAAUUAACUAAUAUGAUUUAAGAUUAAUCAAAAAACUUGGAAAUCUGCUUGAAUCCAAUCUCAAAAUUGAAAACGAACACUUCACUUUUACAAAAGUUGUACAAAGCAAAAAAAAAAAAACAGACAAAUCAAAGUCUCACAAAGGGCCACAACGACAGCAAAAUUGCAACAGAAAGAGGAAAAAUGUUCAAUCAAACCAUUGGAUAACUCUUCUAAGGCAGCCAAAAAAAAACCCACAAAUUCAAAACCACAAAAAUCCAAUCUAAAACAUCGAUUCACAGACUGAGAUGCACAAAAUGAUAUAUUAACAAAUCCAAAACGAAAUACAAAAAUUAAGAACCAACAAGCAAAAAAAUACUGAUUAUCCCCUGCAUACGUGAGCACACGUUCAAAAAGCCUCUCAAAGGCUGAGAUUCAACUUUCAAACAUAAAGACUUUAAGCCACAAUUGUUCUUUCUUAACUUUAGCUACUUCAGUUACAUAAUCGGAAAAAAAAAAUUAUUUAAUUAUAGUUAACUAAUCUGGGUUAAGAUUAAUAAAAAAGCUUGGAAAUUUCAGAUCUAAAAUCACACCUCAGGCUGCAAGUAGAAUCAAAACCAUGGAAUUUCAAAAUCACUGACCUUAAACACACAGGUCUUCGCAGGCUUCAAAGAAAAGUCACAAACUCGAAAAACCCAAUCUCCUGAAAUCGAAAACAAAACCAAAUUAACCAUCAUCACCUAGAAUCCGAAGCUACAAAACAAAAUUCCCAAAAUCAAAACCAAAAAAUUUGAACAAAAAACUCAUUUAAUAUCCAAAUUUACACUCCCAAGCACAUAACAUUCAAAGCAGACAAUUACCCAAAUCAAAUCGACAGCAGGAGAUGCAAUCUUUUAUGGGCUUCAAAUUUUCUUCAAACCGAGACCAAAUUCGCUAGUUUUCAGCAAGAGAGCGUUGCCGUUUGUAACCCCCGAUGAAAAGAUCCAAACAAAUUUGACUAACAGUAGACAGAGAGAGAGAGAGAUAGAGAGAGAGAGGUGAAAAUUACUCGCUGGUGACGAAGCUAAUGAAUUCGGAGACGCAUUCCUGGACGGUGUUCGACUGAUCGGCACGAGUAGAGACACCAGAUCAGAAAGACAGAAAAAUUAGGGUUUGGGAGAUAAAGAAACUGGGGCAGAGAGAGAGGGAAAGAGAAGCAGAAAAGAGGAUAAUUUUAUGCAUUUUUUUUAGCCGCUUUGAAUUUUUUUUGGCCGACAGGCAUUUGCGUCCGAUUAUUUUUGUCGAAGCCGGUGACACCAAAACCGGCCUCCGGCUUUCGGACCAGGAUUGUCUGCCCCUUCAUUUUCCCUGCCAUGUCUGUGUGGUCACGGUUAAAUCAUGUUAAUAUUUUAUAUUAUUAUUAUUUUUAUCUUAUUAUAUCUAUAAAAAAACA
rnacentral:lncRNA from 1 species